rnacentral:rRNA from 1 species
AGUACGGCGAGUGAAGCGGCAACAGCUCAAUUUGAAAGCUGGCCUUCGGGUCCGCAUUGUAAUUUGUAGAGGAUGCUUUGGGUAAAACGCCAGUCUAAGUUCCUUGGAACAGGACGUCAUAGAGGGUGAGAAUCCCGUAUGUGACUGGAAAUGUUAACCUAUGUAAAGCUCCUUCGACGAGUCGAGUUGUUUGGGAAUGCAGCUCUAAUGGGAGGUAAAUUUCUUCUAAAGCUAAAUAUUGGCGAGAGACCGAUAGCGCACAAGUAGAGUGAUCGAAAGAUGAAAAGCACUUUGGAAAGAGAGUUAAAAAGCACGUGAAAUUGUUGAAAGGGAAGCGCUUGCAAUCAGACUUGUUUAAACUGUUCGGCCGGUCUUCUGACCGGUUUACUCAGUUUGGACAGGCCAGCAUCAGUUUCGGCGGCCGGAUAAAGGCUCUGGGAAUGUGGCCUCCACUUCGGUGGAGGUGUUAUAGCCCAGGGUGUAAUACGGCCAGCCGGGACUGAGGUCCGCGCUUCGGCUAGGAUGCUGGCGUAAUGGUUGUAAGCGACCCGUCUUGAAACACGGACC